rnacentral:rRNA from 1 species
UACGUAGGGCGCAAGCGUUGUCCGGAAUUAUUGGGCGUAAAGAGCUCGUAGGCGGCUUGUCACGUCGGGUGUGAAAGCCCGGGGCUCAACCUGGGAAUUGCAUUCGAGACUGAAUAGCUAGGGUGCGGUAGAGGGAAGCGGAAUUUCCCGGUGUAGCGGUGAAAUGCGUAGAUAUCGGAAGGAACAUCAGUGGCGAAAGCGGCUUCCUGGACCAGCACCCGACGUUCAGGCACGAAAGCGUGGGGAGCAAACAGG